rnacentral:rRNA from 1 species
CCGGGAACUCGGCAAAUUGACACCGUAACUUCGGGAGAAGGUGUGCCGCUGGCGGUUAGUGACUUCGCGUCACGAAGCUGUCGGUGGUCGCAGUGAAAUGGCGGUUGUGACUGUUUACUAAAAACACAGGACUCUGCGAAGUCGUAAGACGACGUAUAGGGUCUGAUGCCUGCCCGGUGCUGGAAGGUUAAGGGGAUAUGUCAGCGCAAGCGAAGCAUUGAACCGAAGCCCCAGUAAACGGCGGCCGUAACGAUAACGGUCCUAAGGUAGCGAAAUUCCUUGUCGGGUAAGUUCCGACCUGCACGAGGGCAUAACAACAUCCGCACUGUCUCGACCAGGGACUCAGCGAAAUUACAUUGGGGGUGAAGAUGCCCUCUACCCGCGGAAAGACGGAGAGACCCCAUGAACCUUUACUGCAACUUGGCAGUGAUUUUCGGGUUGUUCUGCGUAGGAUAGGUGGGAGGCUUUGAAGCCGGGCUUCCGGGUUCGGCAGAGCCAACGUUGAAAUACCACCCUGAAUAAUCUGGAAAUCUAACCUGCGCCCAUGAUCUGGGCGAGGGACACUGCCUGGUGGGCAGUUUGACUGGGGCGGUCGCCUCCUAAAUUGUAACGGAGGCGUGCGACGGUUCCCUCAGGCUGAUUGGAAACCAGCCGUAGAGUGCAAACGCAUAAGGGAGCUUUACUGCGAGACUGACAAGUCGAACAGUUGCGAAAGCAGGUGUUAGUGAUCCGGUGGUACCACAUGGAAGGGCCAUCGCUCAUCGGAUAAAAGGUACUCUGGGGAUAACAGGCUGAUCGCGCCUGAGAGUUCACAUCGGCGGCGCGGUUUGGCACCUCGAUGUCGGCUCAUCGCAUCCUGGGGCUGGAGCAGGUCCCAAGGGUUUGGCUGUUCGCCAAUUAAAGCGGUACACGAGCUGGGUUUAAAACGUCGUGAGACAGUUUGGUCCCUAUCUUCCGUGGGCGCAGGACACUUGAGAGGAGCUAUCCAUAGUACGAGAGGACCUGGAUGGACGAACCUCUGGUGCUCCGGUUGUCACGCCAGUGGCAUAGCCGGGUAGCCAUGUUCGGAACAGAUAACCGCUGAAGGCAUAUAAGCGGGAAGCUGGCCUCAAGACUAGGUGUCCCUGACGCAAGUCACUAAAGGCCCCUCGAAGACUACGAGGUUGAUAGGCUCGGUGUGGAAGCGCUGCGAGGCGUGGAGCUAACGAGUACUAAUAGGCCGUGCGACUUGACCUC